UAUAACGGGUUUUCAAACUCAUCAAAAGUUUUCAAUAAAAACUUUGUUUGGAUUUGAAAUUUAGCAAGUUCUGUUUUUUCACUGUUUGCUAGGUCCUCAUCCUAUAUGUCCGCAUAAAUGUAGGAUCUUGUGUUCUUUAGUCGAAUGUUUUUUUAACUAUAAGUUUGGUUUUCGUUGUUGAACUGUGUGGUUUGCAAACUGAACUGUUUUUUUUUCAAGAUAUUGACAACUGUGUGUAUUUUCUAUGAGGGAAAAGUGUACUGGUUGAAACUGUGUAUACCUUCAGAAGUUUUUACGUUGUCAUUAUGUUUUCUUACACGUAGAAUUGUGUGAUUGUCAAUUCUAUCAGGUUUCUUUGUCUUGGAUCAUGUAGUUUGUUUUUGUCUUAAACAUGUUGUUUUUCUGGUCUAUAUACCAUAUUGUUUGUAAUCUUGAAGUAUGGUUAGUUGAACCGUGUGGUUUACGUAUUUUAACCCAUAGUAUUGUCAAGAUUAUAUUUGAAUAUGUUUGACAGCUUUGUAUGUUCUCUCGUGUGUGAGAUGUUUAUUUUGAUUGAAGAGUCAAGUGACAUUUUUUCAAUCAGAGUUGGUUAUUGCUAUUUGAUGCUCAUGUUUGCAAGUCCUGUCUUAGUUGUGAAAGUCGUGUGACUUUAUGUUUGUCAGAUGUGUGUCUGAUAGUGUUAUGCAAUCAUAUGCUUAUGUGAUUUAGUAUUUGUUGUGAAGUUGUAGAAAAAAAGCUUUUUUGUUUUAUUCAAAUUAGUCUUUGAGUUCUUCGCAAGUAUUGUCUUUCGGUCUUGGUUCUGAGUUCUUAGAAUCGUGUGAUUCGUUGUUCUCAGUCUUUGUUCUGAGUUAUGUGUCUCGUGUGAGAUAUAUUUGUUCUGGUUACAAAUUGUGUAAUUUUGUGUUUUUGUCAGGAUUUGUUUGGCUGUGUCUUAUAGUCAUGGUUCUUGAAUGUAUGUGAUGUUAGCCUUGUACUUUUCUCUUGUGUAAGAGAUGUGUUUCUGGUUGUUUAUUAUGCCAAAAUAUGUGUAGGCUAUCAUCGUUGUUGUCUGGUGUUCUUAGUCAUAACAGUUUAUCUGUUUUGUUGACUCUCUGUUAUAGAGGGUUCUUUGGUUUGUUGGUAUUUGUGUUUUUUCGUCAAAGAAUCUUUUAUCUCGUCUUGUAGUUUGUCUGAAUUCUUAGUAUGUCUGUGUUAAGACAUUGGUUAUAGAAGUCCAAUUCUUUGAUUUGUUUCUCUAUGAUGUUGUGUUAGCCGUAGUUUGGCUAUUAAAAUCUAGUAAAAGUGCUAUAUGAGUUUCUUUGAAUCUUGUAAAAGUGCUAUAUGAGUUUCAUGUGGGGACUAAACACUUGAAAUAGAAUUGGAAUUUGUUGAAAAAAAUUGUCUGUAGUUGUUAUGUGUAAUAAGUUGGAAAUGGUUAACAUGCAUAGUAUAUGAAUUAUGGGGGCAUGUUGAAAGUAUAAGAUUAAUUCAUAUACUAUACAGUUGUUAGUUAUGUUUGUCACUUUGGACUCAUGUCAUGUUUGGUGCAAGUUGUUACAACAACUGGCAUUCCGAGGGGGCUAUAUGAAAAUUAUGGAGGGCUGUGAUCAUCCUUGUGGAUUUUAGUGUAAUUUGAUUGGUGAGCACAUAUGAAUGAAGGGGGAAUGUUAAAAGAAUGUUAAAAAAUAUCAUUCAUAUGUUGCACAAAUUAUUAGUUAUAUUGUUACAAGUUGUUGGCCUAGUUGUAAUAACAGGUGCAACAAAUUGAGGGACCUGGAUAUAAGAAGCUUCUGGUCAGUUCAUUUAUGGAGAUUUAACCCCCAAAUUUCUUUCAUCACUCUAUCUCUCAAUUACUAGCCUACAUACGUAUUACACACUCUGUUCGUUCAAGGCAAGUUGGUCUGUCGCAGUGAUGGUUUGAUGGAGAUUCUUUAUGAAUCUUGUUCGGUUAUUGAUCAUCAAUGGUGGUUCCCCUAAUUCUCAUUACUGAUUCUCAAUAUGGUUCUUUCUGCAUCUUGUGAGAAUUUUAGGGUUAUUUAUUUGGUAUUGUUGAAGGUUGUGAGUAGUCUCUCGGUUGUAUAUUGUGAGAGAUUGUCUUCUAGUUUUGAUAAUCAUCGGUGGAUGGUUAUCCAGUUGUUGUUUGUUCAUUUGUUGUUUCAUCUCUCAUAUGUCAAGAGAGAUUCAAUUUCUGAGUAUGAUGAUCAUCAGAGGAUGAUCAUCGCUUGUAUUUCUGUAUUUUUUGUAUUAGAUCUUACAUAAGUAAGAUCUAGGGUUUGGGGGGUGUUUUUUUGGUUUGGGUAAAGAUAAUAAAAGUUUUGUCACAGUUUUGUCGCU